CACAAUUGCUUUAAUCUCGUGAUAAAACAUUUAAUGGCUAGAAUCUCUACUUUUGUUUCACUAAAGACAGGGGUUCCUCAAGAUGGAAAACUACUGGUAAAGAAUUAGAAACUUGGUUUAAGUGUCAAUAAAUGAUUGAGACUCUUACAAGUUUAGUUGAUAAAACAGCUUCUGGGUUUGUGAGAUUACUUCCCAGGCUUCAAGGUGUCCUCUGAAUAUGAUGCUAUCAAAGAGCAUUGCAUUGAGAAAUACUUGAUGUAAAGUACCAUCUAUAUGGUAAAUUUCCACUUUGAAAAACUAUAGUCACCCAACUUUCAGUAACUACCACCCUGGACAGUUAGCAGCUAUCAACUCUAAGGUAAGGCCCUCCUCAGGAAAACAAACUAAAAACAAAAUCCCCAAAUAUAUGACAUGCUAAAGGUUAAGAUGAAUAGAAACAUUUUUACCAGUAACAUUUUAAACCAAAGUAUAUACAUUAUUUUCAAAUAUACUAUUUGUCUUAGGGUUUCCAUCACUGUGAUAAAACAUUACAACCAAGAGCUUUAGGGAGGAAAGGGUUUAUUUGGCUUACAGGUUACAGUCUUUCAUCAGGGAAGCCAACAUGGGAACUCAGAGCAGGAACUUGGAGGCAGGAACUGAAGCAGAUACCUUGGAGGAGUGCUGCUUACUGAUUUGCUUCCCCUAGCUUUCUCAUCUUGCUUUCUUACACUCUCCAGGACUACCUACCCACAGGUGCUAUUACCCAUAGUGGGCUGGACCCUCCCACAUAAUCAUUAAUCAAGAAAAUGCCCCACAGAUUUGCCCACAGGCAAAGUGAUAAAGGUAUUCUUUUAAAUUGAGGUUUCUCUUCCCAUGUAAGUCUAGCUUAUGUCAGGUUGAGAAAAACGAAACACUAAUAAAUAAAUAUAUCAGGAGACUGUUAACACACUUACUAUAAUUUUUUUUCAGAUGUACCCAGAAACAAAAAAAUUCAUAGUCCCACCUCCCAUCUAUGUUAUGCAAGUGAUCCUAAUUAAACUCAGUGCGGGGAAGGGAGGGAGGGAAGGGGGGAGAGAGAGAGAGAGAGAGAGAGAGAGAGAGAGAGAGAGAGGGAGAGAGGGAGGAAGGGG
rnacentral:lncRNA from 1 species